AUUGAACGCUGGCGGCAGGCCUAACACAUGCAAGUCGAGCGGAGCGGCGGACGGGUGAGUAAUGCCUAGGAAUCUGCCUGGUAGUGGGGGAUAACGUACGGAAACGGGCGCUAAUACCGCAUACUAUCAGAUCAGCCUAGGUCGGAUUAGCUAGUGGGUGGGGUAAAGGCCUACCAAGGCGACGAACCGUAACUGGUCUGAGAGGAUGAUCAGUCACACUGGAACUGAGACACGGACCAGACUCCUACGGGAGGCAGCAGUGGGGAAUAUUGGACAAUGGGCGAAAGCCUGAUCCAGCCAUGCCGCGUGUGGGAAGAAGGUCUUCGGGUUGUAAAGCACGUUGAGUAGGGAGGCGUUACCAACAGAAUAAGCACCGGCUAACUUCGUGCCAGCCGCCGCGGUAAUAC
rnacentral:rRNA from 1 species